rnacentral:misc_RNA from 1 species
GAAGCAGUUGGUUCAGGAAGCUCUCAAUACCGACCAAUUUAGCUUUCCACCACCACCACCAAAAGAAGAAGAGGGACAGAGUGUUACUCCACAAGGACAAAAUACCCAAGAAAUUCCUGCUUUGUCAUCUGAACCGACCUUGGAUGCUCCUUCAAAAGCUGAAGCACCCUUGUCAGAAUCUGAUGUCAGUACAGAGAUUAAACCACCACCACCCCAAGAAUCAAAAGUUGAAG